UACAGAGGGGGCCAGCGUUAUUCGGAAUUAUUGGGCGUAAAGGGCGCGUAGGCGGCCAUGCGUGUCUUCCGUGAAAUCCCUCGGCUUAACCGGGGAACUGCGUCUGAUACUGGAUGGCUUGAGUUUGGGAGAGGGAUGCGGAAUUCCAGGUGUAGCGGUGAAAUGCGCAGAUAUCAGGAGGAACACCGGUGGCGAAGGCGGGUCUCUGGGCCGAUACUGACGCUGAGGAGCGAAAGCGUGGGGAGCGAACAGG
rnacentral:rRNA from 1 species